GUCCCCUGUGGGUAGGGUCCUAAGUAGAGAACUGCUAGUAAAGUGAUAUGUUGUGGUAAUAAGAAAACCAAAUAGUUGAUGGGCUUCUGUUGCUCUGUUUAAUUGCUUUUUCUUUUUCUAUGCAGGAAAGGAGAAUUAUCUGGCAGCCAAUGGCAAAUGGGGGAAAUUGUAUUUGCAACCUGCAUAAAGGGAUGGUCCAAAGUGGUUUUGGGCUCUAAUCUGUUGACUUGCAUCAUUUUGCCAUUGCUAUCACUGAAGGAUAAUAGUUUCUAUGGGAAAAAUAUGGUGAGCAUGCAGAUAUCAAUUUGUAAUAUAUGCAAAUACAUGCAAUCAAAAUUGACAACUAUAUCGUGAAACAAAAUCAUUGUUUUGUUCUGGAGAAAAAGAAAUAUGCUACUUCUGUAAACUUGUUUGGAUGAAAGUGAUUAUUUUUGGUUUCU
rnacentral:misc_RNA from 1 species